UACCUCUUUCUUCCUCAGGGUAGAAACAUAUUGGAUCCCAGUUAGGCUUUUGAUACUUACAUCCCCUGAUGUCUUCCACGUGAAACACUUGGUGGCCAGACCUUAAAGCUCGUUCAUUAUUUUUCAUGGCCCUGUUGGAAGAGUUAGAUAUGGGUGUGCCACCACUUAUGGAAUAUAUCACAUUUACCUGGCGUUAGAUAUGGGUGUGCCACCACGAAGGGUGAUACACUUCUCGCCGUCAUGGCCAUUAUGCUCGUGGUAACAGCAAAAUGUGCCCGUGUUCUUCGUGGGCUUGUAAUCCGGGUGCCUCAGCUUUGGCUUCGGUAUCAAGUGUGCUAUGCUGGGGUAAAUGGUCAUACAUGUGGCAUUCAAAGGUGUGUAUGCCUCAUACCUCGGGGUAGGGGCUGUCCUGACACAUGUUUGACCCAUUGUGUUGACUGCCUAGGGUCGAGGAUUAUCAUGGCGAUACCAUUGGUUAUCGCGGUAGUGUCCCUUACUCAUUUUACUAAAAUGAGACUGGUGAGGAUGGAAAUCUUUCAUUUUGCCCUGAGAUUGAUAUGUCUGUUGACUUGGCAAAGUAUUAAGUAAGGCAGGGGGAGGCAUCGUUGCCGUUUGGAAGGUCGAGGUCUUCUCAUUUGGUUGGAUCUGGCUUCCACUCCCUACUUGCUGAUAAAGGAUGGUUGUUGGGGGUUUCCCUUGAUAUGUCCUUACCUCGGCGGAGGCAUGGUUGUAAGCAUGUGCCAUCACCUCAGACUAAGUCUUCCAAAGGUUGGCAUUGAUCAUAUACUUGAAGAAACAAUCACGUAGGUCUGCCAUGAAAGCCUUGAGGGCGGUCUUGUCAUCUGCCUCAGCGCAGCGAGAAUACUUAUGGUUGAAACGACCAACAUACUCUCGUAAUGA
rnacentral:lncRNA from 1 species